UUAUGGAUGAUGAUUCCAAGUCAAUCAGCCCUUGGAAAAGCUUAACAAAAUGAGUGAAACUCCCUGAAAAAAUACCUAUCACUUGGCUAUAA